rnacentral:rRNA from 1 species
GAUGAACGCUAGCGAUAGGCCUAACACAUGCAAGUCGAGGGGCAUCACGGAGUAGCAAUACUUUGGUGGCGACCGGCGCACGGGUGAGUAACGCGUAUGCAAUCUACCUACAACAGGGGGAUAACCCGGAGAAAUCCGGACUAAUACCGCAUAACACAGGGGUCCCGCAUGGGAAUAUUUGUUAAAGAUUUAUCGGUUGUAGAUGAGCAUGCGUUCCAUUAGGUAGUUGGUGAGGUAACGGCCCACCAAGCCUGCGAUGGAUAGGGGAACUGAGAGGUUUGUCCCCCAAACUGGACCUGAGAAACGGACCAGACUCAUACGGGAGGCAGCAGUGAGGAAUAUUGGUCAAUGGGCGAGAGCCUGAACCAGCCAAAUCGCAUGAAGGAAGACUGCCUUAUGGGUUGUAAACUUCUUUUGUACAGGAAUAAAAAGAGGGACGUGUCCUUCAUUGCAUGUACUGUACGAAUAAGCAUCGGCUAACUCCGUGCCAGCCGCCGCCGUAA